rnacentral:rRNA from 1 species
GAUGAACGCUGGCGGCGUGCCUAAUACAUGCAAGUCGAGCGAACAGAUAAGGAGCUUGCUCCUUUGACGUUAGCGGCGGACGGGUGAGUAACACGUGGGUAACCUACCUAUAAGACUGGAAUAACUCCGGGAAACCGGGGCUAAUGCCGGAUAACAUUUAGAACCGCAUGGUUCUAAAGUGAAAGAUGGUUUUGCUAUCACUUAUAGAUGGACCCGCGCCGUAUUAGCUAGCUGGUAAGGUAACGGCUUACCAAGGCAACGAUACGUAGCCGACCUGAGAGGGUGAUCGGCCACACUGGAACUGAGACACGGUCCAGACUCCUACGGGAGGCAGCAGUAGGGAAUCUUCCGUAAUGGGCGAAAGCCUGACGGAGCAACGCCGCGUGAGUGAUGAAGGUCUUCGGAUCGUAAAACUCUGUUAUUAGGGAAGAACAAAUGUGUAAGUAACUGUGCACGUCUUGACGGUACCUAAUCAGAAAGCCACGGCUAACUACGUG